UGGGCAUAUAUGAGUUUGGCACAUGUGUAUAUAUGUGGCAUCUGUGGAGAUCUAAGAUGAAGGAAUUGGAUGUGUUGUUGUGGCGCAUGGACCCUUUGGCAUGCUAUAGAAAGAGAGAUGGUACAAGUUAGUGACGAAAGAGAAUUAGAUGAAUAGUAUAAGAAUAGGGACAUUGCAUACAUAUGGUACCCCUGCUGAAUGAUUUCUCUGGCCCCUGAGCCCUGAACGAUAACAUCAACUUCAAAUACUAAGCAUCUUUGUUUAUCAUCCAAAAUGCCAACCAUGUUCAAACAUUAAGUUUCCAUGCAGAUUAUAGUAUUGCUGUGCCUCUUGGGCCUCUCUAAUUGUCUUCAGCUCAUAACAUUUACACACCUACCAAAUAUCAUGAGUAGUUGAAUAGACCUUACAUACCUCAUCCCUGUCUCUGCUUUAUACAUGUGCAACCACAUUAUAAUGACAUCACCACAAUCAUUAUAUGCAAUUUACAAACUAAGUAUAUCUGUAAAAAGCAAUCAUAUAAACCAUUAUUUUAUGCGGCUUUUAUAUCUAUGAUUCAACUUAAUUUAGGUAAAAAAAGAUGUCCAUUAUGCAGAAAAAGGCGAAUGAGAGUGAGACCCGUGGGAGACUGCCACUGCAAAUAAGGCCAUUCAAUUCAAUUGAAAUUGAAAUUCAACCCUAGCUAGCUUGUCCCCAGUCUUAUUCUCAGUGGCAACCCUAAAGCCUAAGAACUCUCUCUACUUUUAGUCUGUGACAAGCUUCAAGUGCAGAAUUUGGUUCCAUGCAGAUGGACAACAGGACAAGCUCCAGCUGACUGCUGAGUCCAACCUUGUCCCCACCAAGAUCAAACCACACUUCUAUUGCAUAUUUACUGUCCCAAACUUCAUUUUUUUAUUUUUUUUUUCAAUCCAUAACCACCCUUUCUUUCUUUUUUCCCUCUCUUACCUGAUGUCAUUGCCAUCCAUAAUUGAGACCAUGGCAGGCCCCCACUGGGUUCAAAACCCUUCUCCAAAUUCAUCA
rnacentral:lncRNA from 1 species